rnacentral:lncRNA from 1 species
UAACAACAUUUUUUUUUACGUAUAAUUUUACUCCGAUACAUUUCCCCUGACAGCUUCGUUACUCGCUUCACAAUCAAAUCAAUCUGAAGCUGGAAGAAGAAAAUGAUUCAUGUUGGAAAAAAGAAGCAAGCAAUGGCGCACCCAUGGGUGAACUUGUUUUGCAAGGCAGCAUUCGACGACAUGCACCCACCGGGAGCAUGUCACUUGCAAAACAGUCAUCCACUCAGCAGUACUUUGCCCAAGCAAGUCCGAAAUAGCACAAUCAGGCCUGAAAUCGUUCUACCACCACCACCUCCUGAUGAGGACGAACACCCUUGGCCAUAUCUAAAAUAAAUGUUUUAUUUUCUCAGAAUGAAGGAAUCAUCCUACAGGAUGAAAUGUCUGUUAUGUUUACUAAAAGUUCAGGAAAUACUAGCGUUCGAGAACUCGCCGUCGAAUCGAAAAUUUAAUCUAAGAACACAUUGAGGUAAGCCUACUGUUAGCUUGCCAGCUAGCUAGAAUAAUGUUAGCAUGCUAGCUAACAUUAGCUAACCUAGCUAGCUUGCCCACAGUUACUAAUGCAACAAGCCGUGUUAGUUGAUGCUAGUUAAUCCUAUACCUAAAUAGUUCACUAGCUAGUAGCUACCUACUUUAACUGAAGCUUUGUUAGCUAAUGCAAUCUAAAUAAACUAACGUUCGCUAACUAGCUAGCGUAGUAGUUUUUGAAUCUGGGCACAUUUUAGUCAGCUAACGUUAGUCUAGCCAAAUACAUUUUCUCUAAACACCCCUGGUCAAGCUAGCUAGCUAACGUUAACAUUCAAAUGUUAGCUAACACCCACUAGCUUAGCUAGUUAGCUAGCCAUUUUAUUAAUUGUGUUAGUUGAUCAAUUUGUUCUUCUUACCUAGCUAAUUACUGUAGACUUAAGAUAUUGACAUAACCUACAAACUAGAUCAAUGAAAUUUUUUUACAUUUUACAUGUUUACAAUUAACAUUGUAAAAUUAAAUGGUCACAAAUUCUCACUUAACUAAUGUUGUUUAUAUGUUUAAAAUUAGGAUCCUAUACCUUAAGUAUUGUGGUGAAGUAUGUAGUCCAAGGGCUCCAAACAUUCACUGUUGUAGAACAAGAACCGUUCAGAGAGUUUGUCCAGGAUCUGCAGCCUAACUCAAAGAUCAUAUCAAGACCCUCUCUGCGCUCCAGGGUUGUUGAUAACCUCCAAGAAAAUGAAGAAGGUGACUGAGGCCAUGACAAGUUGACCACAUCGCCACCACCACUGACUGCUGAUCUGCAAGAAGACGGAAAUUCAUUGGUGUUACAGCCCAUUGGAUAGACCCUGAAAGUCUCAACAGAUGCUCUGCAGCCCUGGCCUGUAAACGGUUGAGAGGCUCGCACACCUUUGUUGGUAGGCGCCAUAAAUUACAUAAAUUCUCAGUUCGAAAUUCAGGGUAAGAUUGUGAGAACAACAGACAUCGGCUUUAACUUCUUGAAAGCUUUCCAAGUUUUUUAAGAAGACGAAAAUAACGAGGCAGUCGAUGUGAUGGUGUUGAAGCAGCUCAGCAAGGACAGGAAGAUGAUGAAGAGGAGGAACAAGAGGAGAGUGAAGAAGUGGAGUUUGUUUAUGUGGCAACAAUCCUGAAUGAAGAUGAUAGUUUUGAGGACCAGCUGCCGAAGCACCAGCGUUGUGUUAGACACCUACUCAACUUAGUAUCUACAUUCGAUGCCCUGAAAGCAUACAAAAAAAGUGUCCUGUUCAAUAUUUGGCAAGUGCCAAGCACUUUGGAACAAAUGAGGAAGAUCCACACUUGCAGCCGAAACGGUUGAAGAUGCUUGGGACCUCCAGAUGCUGCGCCCGAAUGCUACAAGGUGAAACUCAUGGUUCAUGGCUGUAGAAAGGCUCUUGUGGAUCAUCAAAGACAAAGAGAGGCUGCCGUCAGAGUUCUCUGCACAGACAUCGAGGUUUGAAUCUUUCCUGAAAUUUGAGGCCCACUUACUAGUUUAUCAGAGGCACAGCUGUAUGAUGGGUCUGGAACUGAAGUUGAUGGAAUCUUCCCUGAUGAGUCCUGCCUCUGCCAGUGCUGUGAUGGGUGGUUCAGACCGUGAGUCGGAUGAUACAAUAAUUUUGAGCGAGGAUGGAAGCCCCUCACGAAAGCCUCAAAGAUCUGAUGACGAAGCAAAAAAUCUAAUAGAGGGCAUACUGAAGAAAAAGCCUGGUGGAGAGGUGGUCAUCAAGGAAUACUCCAAAACUAACGGCCUGACUGACUGCACCAGACGAAAGAUGAUCAACAUUCUUGUUUUGGAGAUGACAGAUUCACGGACAUCACCAUCGCGCAGUGUGAGAGAAACGUUUCCACAAGGCAUUGUCUCCUUGUUCCCAUACCUGAAGGAUCCCUACACCACAAAUUGAUAUGAACAUUAUUACCACCCUACUAGUGGAGGAGGGUACCUCUCGUAUAGAAUCAAAACCGUUCAGAGGAAUUUGGCUUCAUCUGAGAAACGGCCCACUCAACUAUACUAUGGAUUGCCAACUGCUGAGAGGGAGUCCAGUCCAUCCACUUUGGCUACUCUGAGUGAAGACUGGUGCAGAGAGACCGUUUCUCUUAUGAAGCAUUCUUCUGAUGAAGAAACAGUCAAACAGAAGAUGAAAUUGACCUUUGGGUACAGGAAGAAGAUGACCCACGACCUGAGUAAAUGCUCCACCAUUCUAACCAAAUUUCCACGCUUUCUGGAUGUGAAGGGCUUAGUAAGACUUAAGUUGUAUACAUUUUGUUGAAUUUCCAGAUGCCAUUUGAGGUUGGCCAGUAAAUUUAAACAAAAACAACACUUCCGUAAUAGUAGCUCAAUUAAUGUGUAGGCUGGGGCUUUACUCAAACUCUGUUUUGGAGGUUCAAAUGGAAUGUUUUAUGAGAAAGAAAUGUACUUGCACAAAACAAAUGUUUUGUUCUUUGUCUUAUUUGUUUCAUGAUUGAACAGAUUUUUGUGGUGCUGUUUUUUGAGGGAACAUCAGCCACGUUUUUGGAGAGGUGGCCAACUAUAAUCAAGCAUGAAUGCUGAUGGUUAGAUGAUCAUAAUUUGUCAUUUACACUACCGUUCAAAGGUUUGGGGUCACUUAGAAAUGUCCUUGUUUUUGAAAGAAAAGCUUAUUUUUUUUGUCCAUUAAAAUAACAUCAAAUUGAUCAGAAAUACAUUGUAGACGUUGUUAAUGUUGUAAAUUGCUAUUGUAGCUGGAAAAGGCUGAUUUUUAUUGGAAUAUCUACAUACAGAGGCACAUUAUCACCAACCAUCACUCCUGUGUUCGAUUACAGGCUCAAAAUGGCCAGAAACAAAGACCUUCCUUCUGAAACUCAUCGGUCUAUUCUUGUUCUGAGAAAUGAAGGCUACUCCAUGCGAGAAAUUGCCAAGAAACUGAAGAUCUCGUACAAAGCUGUGUACUACUCCCUGCAGAGAACAGCACAAACUGGCUCUAACCAGAAUAGAAAGAGGAGUGGGAGGCCCCGGUGCACAACUGAGCAAGAGGACAAGUACAUUACAGUGUCUAGUUUGUGAAACAGACACUUAACAAGUCCUCAACUGGCAGCUUUAUUAAAUAGUACCCGCAAAACACCAGUCUCAAUGUCAACAGUGAAGAGGCGACCCCAGAAUGCUGGCCUUCUAGGCAGAGUUCCUCUGUCCAGUGUCUGUGUUCUUUUGCCCAUCUUAAUCUUUUCUUUUUGUUGGCCAGUCUGGGAUAUGGCAUUUUCUUUGCAACUCUUCCUAGAAGGCCAGCAUCCUUCAUUAACCUGUUGAGGGUAGGGGGCAGUAUUUGCACGGCCGGAUAAAAAACGUACCCGAUUUAAUCUGGUUAUUACUACUGCCCAGAAACUAGAAUAUGCAUAUAAUUAUUGGCUUUGGAUAGAAAACACCCUAAAGUUUCUAAAACUGUUUGAAUGGUGUCUGUGAGUAUAACAGAACUCAUAUGGCAGGCAAAAACCUGAGAAGAUUCUGUACAGGAAGUGCCCUCUCUGACCAUUCCUUGGGCUUCUUGACUCUUUUUAUUGAAAACUUAGGAUCUUUGCUGUAACGUGACACUUCCUACGGCUCCCAUAGGCUCUCAGAACCCAGGAAAAACCUGAAUGACGUCUUUGCAGCCCCUGGCUGAAAAACAUUAGCGCCUUUGGUAAGUAGUCUAUCAGAGGACAAUGAGACUGAGGCGCGUGCACGAGGUGACCCCAUGUUUUUAUUUUCUCUCUCUUUGUACUAAAACACGGUUUCCCGGUUGGAAUAUUAUCGCUUUUUUACGAGAAAAAUGGCAUAAAAAUUGAUUUUAAACAGCGGUUGACAUGCUUCGAAGUACGGUAAUGGAAUAUUUAGAAUUUUUUUGUCACGAAACGCGUCGGGCGCAUCACCUUUCGGAUAGUGUCUUGAACGCACGAACAAAACGCCACUAUUUGGAUAUAACUAUGGAUUAUUUUGAACCAAACCAACAUUUGUUAUUGAAGUAGAAGUCCUGGGAGUGCAUUCUGAUGAAGAACAGCAAAGGUAAUAACAUAUUUCUUAUAGUAAAUCUGACUUUGGUGAGGGCUAAACUUGGUGGGUGUCUAAAUAGCUAGCCCUGUGAUGCCGGGCUAUCUACUUAGAAUAUUGCAAAAUGUGCUUUCACCGAAAAGCUAUUUUAAAAUCGGACAUAGCGAGUGCAUAGAGGAGUUCUGUAUCUAUAAUUCUUAAAAUAAUUGUAUGUUUUUUGUGAACGUUUAUCGUGAGUAAUUUUGUAAAUUCACUGGAAGUUUGCGGGGGGAGGUAUGCUAGUUCUGAACGUCACAUGCUAAUGUAAAAAGCUGGUUUUUGAUAUAAAUAUGAACUUGAUUGAACAAAACAUGCAUGUAUUGUAUAACAUAAUGUCCUAGGAUUGUCAUCUGAUGAAGAUCAUCAAAGGUUAGUGCUGCAUUUAGCUGUGGUUUGGGUUUAUGUGACAUGCUAGCUUGAAAAAUGUGUGUCUGAUUAUUUCUGGCUGGGUACUCUGCUGACAUAAUCUAAUGUUUUGCUUUCGUUGUAAAGCCUUUUUGAAAUCGGACAGUGUGGUUAGAUUAACGAGAGUCUUGUCUUUAAAAUUGUGUAAAAUAGUCAUAUGUUUGAGAAAUUGAAGUAAUAGCAUUUCUAAGGUAUUUGAAUAACGCGCCACGGGAUUCCACUGGCUGUUACAUAGGUGGGACGAAAUCGUCCCACUGGCCCUAGAGAGGUUAAAGCAUAAUUAUAUUUUGUCUGUAAGUACUUUUAUUGCUUCUUUAAUCAGAACAACAGUUUUCAGCUGUGCAAACAUAAUUGCAAAAGGGUUUUCUAAUGAUCAAUUAGCCUGCUAAACUUGGAUUAGCUAACACAACGUGCCAUUGGAGCACAGGAGUGAUGGUUGCUGAUAAUGGGCCUCUGUACGCCUAUGUAGAUAUUCCAUUAAAAUAUCUGCUGUUUUCAUCUACAAUAGUCAUUUACAACAGUAACAAUGUCUACACUGUAUUUUUCAUCAAUUUGAUGUUAUUUAAAAAAAAAAAAAAUUUCUUUCAAAAACAAGAUUUCUAAGUUACCCCAAAUUUCAAAUCAAAUGAAAUGUAUUUGUCACAUACACAUGGUUAGCAAGUGAAAUUGCAGAGCGCAAAAUUCAAAAUACAAAAAUCAUAAUAUUAAACAUUCAUGAAAAUACAAGUGUCAUACAUCAUUUAAAAUCUUAACUUCUUGUUAAUCCAGCCGCUUUGUCAGAUUUCAAAAAGGCUUUACGGCGAAAGCAUACUAUGCGAUUAUCUGAGGACAGCGCCCCGUGUACAAAAGCAUUAAAAACAUUUUCCAAACCAGCAGAGGCAUCACGAAAGUCAGAAAUAGCGAUAAAAUAAAUCACUUACCUUUCAAGAUCAACCUCUGUUUUCAAUCCCAAGGGUCCCAGCUACAUAACAAAUGGUCGUUUUGUUUGAUAAAGUCCUUCUUUAUAUCCCAAAAAGGUCAGUUUAUUUGGCGCACUUGAUUCAGUAAUCCACCUGUUCCCCUCGUUCAAAAUGCAUACAAAGAAUCCCAAAAGUUACCAAUAAACUUCGUCCAAACAAGUCAAACAACAUUUCUAAUCAAUCCUCAGUUACCCUAAUAUGUAAAUAAACGAUAAAAUUUAAGACGGAGAAUAGUAUGUUCAUUACCGGAGAUAAAUAAUGAAGUGCGUGCCCUCAUCCACACGCGCCAAAAGACGACAGUCAAAAUGAGAGCCACCUAGAAAAACUACAAAUUCUAGCUCAUUUUUCAAAAAACAAGCCUGAAACCCUUUCUAAAGACAUCUAGUGGAAGCCAUAGGAACUGCAAUCUGGGAGGAUUUCCUUUUAUUUUCCCAUAGACAGCCAUUUCAACGGGUGGUGACCUCAAAAAGAUUAUCCUCGGGUUUUCACCUGCCUUAUCAGUUCUGUUGUACUCACAGACAUUAUGUUAACAGUUUUAGAAACUUCAGAGUGUGUUCUAUCCAAAACUACCAAUUAUAUGCAUAUCCUAGCUUCUGGGCCUGAGUAACAGGCAGUUUACUUUGGGCACCUCAGUCAUCCGAACUUCCGAAUAUUGCCCCCUAUAGUAAAGUCAUGACUGUGGCGAUGUCCUCUUAAUCCUACAGUGAGGUUGUGUGCAGAUCUGUACAUGUACUUUUGAUGAGCUCAUCAUCUACAUAGUAUUUUUCAAUAUAUAUGGUUCUAUUAUAGGAGGUGUUUUCUAAAGCAAAGGGACUGAUUGUAAGUGCUUAUGUUUACUGGCUAUAUUCCUUCAUUAAACCAUAAGUGUUGCCUAAUUGAGAAUCCACCUUUUUUUAUCUGAGCACUUCUUUCAUCUGUAAGACUAACU